UGAACCCGCAACAACUUGUGGUUGUGGUGAGCCUUGUUGCAGAACACCAUUGUUCCGUGUUUUCGCAGCGAAGGGGCAUUUUGGCUGAUGAUUCGCUGCACUGUCAGACAGUGUUGAACAAAAUGGCAUUACAGUUUUCAGCAGUAAUUUCCCUGACCAUUUUAAUUUUUUAAGGAUAUGUGAGCUUGUACACUCGAACUCAAACUCCUCGAAUAUAAGUGCUAAAGGUCACGCAUUAUGUGAGGGAGACGUAAGUAUUGGUGUACUUCGCAUGAUUCUUCAUUCAUUAAAGGACGAUCAGAAAAAAGGCGAAGGAGUAGCUAUUUAUUUACAACCUUGCACAUUGUUCUACUUGACCCCUGGAUUUAAUAGAGAGAUAUAUGGUUGUUCGACCAUCUAGUGCUUCAAACUAGUUAUUUGUUUGUUUAUUUAAACGGUCUACCCGUCAUACGCUGUCAGUUUAGUGUGUUCUAAAGAAAUCUUUGACUGCCAUUCUAUAUAAACCACAUUUAUUUAGAGUAGGUGCUGCAACAGCAGCAUGUCUGCUUACGAUAUUACAAGAAUGGGGCGUUGCGCCCCGGAUUCAAGUGCACUUAAAUCUUGCAUUAGAAUCCUCUCACGUCAGCUGUUGUCACUCAGAUCUUACGCCUAUAAGCAGUUUCAUUGUACCUGCCAUAUGUUGCCCUUUUUUGUUGACAAUUGUUUUCAGCUUUUCAGUGCGUCCUACCCAUAUUUGGAUAGUUGGAUGUUCAAUUAUAAAGUCGGUAUUUCGUUACGACAAGGAAUCAGCUGAGGGUUCUCAACUUGUAAUGCAGCGUCAUAAUGCGACUAUACUCUGUCAGAGUCAGGAUGGUAUGAAAUGGCGGCAAGUUAAACCAUUAAUCUUACACUUGUUUCCUUUUGAAGACAAUCAAGGUACAUCUUAUGUGUUCAAGUUCAGCCUACACCUUCCUUCCCUUCAGUCGUUACAGCUUCACAUGGAAUAUUGGCAGUUUUCACAUGUUAAUGUAUGGACAUGACAGUGUCUGUUUUCCAGAACUGUGAAAUAUGUACGUGUCAUAUAUAAACGUUUAACGUAGUCACUGAUUCUGUAUGUCUUUUUUUUGUAUACCUGAUCUCCGUUGAAUUCUGAUCCCAGGUUCGGCGGUUAGGUCAGCCUCCACCAGUAUAUCUUAACGUUGUGU
rnacentral:lncRNA from 1 species